GCCGCAGUAGCUCAUUGGUAGAGCACACCCUUGGUAAGGGUGUGGUAGGAAGUUCGAUUCUUCUCUGCGGCACCA
rnacentral:tRNA from 1 species